UACGGAGGGUGCGAGCGUUGUCCGGAAUCAUUGGGCGUAAAGGGCGCGUAGGUGGCCCGGUCAGUCCGUGGUGAAAGCGCGGGGCUCAACCCCGCGUCGGCCAUGGAUACUGCUGGGCUGGAGCACUGUAGAGGCAGGCGGAAUUCCGGGUGUAGCGGUGGAAUGCGUAGAGAUCCGGAAGAACACCGGUGGCGAAGGCGGCCUGCUGGGCAGUUGCUGACACUGAGGCGCGACAGCGUGGGGAGCAAACAGGG
rnacentral:rRNA from 1 species